UAUGUACUCCCUCUGACCCAUAUUACUUGUUAAAAUAUUACAUGUAUCUUGACGUUUUUUAAACAUAGAUACAUCCAUAUUUGGGGAAAUUUAAGACAAGUAAUAUGGGACGGAGGGAGUACUAA
rfam:Brachypodium distachyon strain Bd21 chromosome 1, whole genome shotgun sequence.